GUUCUGCGCAUAGUCAUAGGCGGCUUGCGCCUGUUUCACCGCAGCGGCGGCCUGAGCGAUUUCUUCAUCGCGAUACCCGGCAAGCAUCAGGUCAUACUGCGCCUGUGCCACCGAGACGCCCGCUUUCGCCUGCAUCAGGGCAAUCUCAUAAGUUCUGGAGCGCACUUUACGCAGGCGGCAUAAUCCUGUAAACGUGAUGAUUCAGGAUGAGUUAAUGAAGUAUUUUCACUAAUGCGGAUGAAUAUGUCUGACUUUGCCACUUUCUUUGCCGUGGCCCGUAAUCAAAGCUUUCGUGCAGCGGGCGAUGAAUUAGGCUUAUCCUCGUCCGCCAUUAGCCAUAGUAUUAAAUCGACGCUUUGUAGCGAGUACCACAACGCUUCGCCCGCAGGCCAGAUAAAAAAGAUAACGGUGAUGAUGAGCUGCGGCGCGACCAGCAGAUAAGGCAGCCAGCGCGAGCGGAACACCGGACGGGAUGAUGACAUUACGGUUAAUUCCUGAACUGUGCCGGAUGCGCUUCGAAGCCACUGACGUAUAGCUGUUUGCCGCCACCAGUCGUAGGCUAUUGAGAUAGGCAUCCUGCAAAAGCUGGUCUUCGUUUUGUUCACCACCACGCCAGACUGGCCCGACGGGAUGCAAACUGCGAAUACCGGAGAAUGUUAUCACGGGAGACACACGGCGGGUGCUAACGUCCGUCGUGAAGAGGGAAACAACCCAGACCGCCAGCUAAGGUCCCAAAGUCAUGGUUAAGUGGGAAACGAUGUGGGAAGGCCCAGACAGCCAGGAUGUUGGCUUAGAAGCAGCCAUCAUUUAAAGAAAGCGUAAUAGCUCACUGGUCGAGUCGGCCUGCGCGGAAGAUGUAACGGGGCUAAACCAUGCACCGAAGCUGCGGCAGCGACGCUGAUGCGUUGUUGGGUAGGGGAGCGUUCUGUAAGCCUGUGAAGGUGUACUGUGAGGUAUGCUGGAGGUAUCAGAAGUGCGAAUGCUGACAUAAGUAACGAUAAAGCGGGUGAAAAGCCCGCUCGCCGGAAGACCAAGGGUUCCUGUCCAACGUUAAUCGGGGCAGGGUGAGUCGACCCCUAAGGCGAGGCCGAAAGGCGUAGUCGAUGGGAAACAGGUUAAUAUUCCUGUACUUGGUGUUACUGCGAAGGGGGGACGGAGAAGGCUAUGUUGGCCGGGCGACGGUUGUCCCGGUUUAAGCGUGUAGGCUGGUUUUCCAGGCAAAUCCGGAAAAUCAAGGCUGAGGCGUGAUGACGAGGCACUACAGUGCUGAAGCAACAAAUGCCCUGCUUCCAGGAAAAGCCUCUAAGCAUCAGGUAACAUCAAAUCGUACCCCAAACCGACACAGGUGGUCAGGUAGAGAAUACCAAGGCGCUUGAGAGAACUCGGGUGAAGGAACUAGGCAAAAUGGUGCCGUAACUUCGGGAGAAGGCACGCUGAUAUGUAGGUGAAGUCCCUCGCGGAUGGAGCUGAAAUCAGUCGAAGAUACCAGCUGGCUGCAACUGUUUAUUAAAAACACAGCACUGUGCAAACACGAAAGUGGACGUAUACGGUGUGACGCCUGCCCGGUGCCGGAAGGUUAAUUGAUGGGGUUAGCGCAAGCGAAGCUCUUGAUCGAAGCCCCGGUAAACGGCGGCCGUAACUAUAACGGUCCUAAGGUAGCGAAAUUCCUUGUCGGGUAAGUUCCGACCUGCACGAAUGGCGUAAUGAUGGCCAGGCUGUCUCCACCCGAGACUCAGUGAAAUUGAACUCGCUGUGAAGAUGCAGUGUACCCGCGGCAAGACGGAAAGACCCCGUGAACCUUUACUAUAGCUUGACACUGAACAUUGAGCCUUGAUGUGUAGGAUAGGUGGGAGGCUUUGAAGUGUGGACGCCAGUCUGCAUGGAGCCGACCUUGAAAUACCACCCUUUAAUGUUUGAUGUUCUAACGUUGACCCGUAAUCCGGGUUGCGGACAGUGUCUGGUGGGUAGUUUGACUGGGGCGGUCUCCUCCUAAAGAGUAACGGAGGAGCACGAAGGUUGGCUAAUCCUGGUCGGACAUCAGGAGGUUAGUGCAAUGGCAUAAGCCAGCUUGACUGCGAGCGUGACGGCGCGAGCAGGUGCGCGCCCGACGCCGGAAAUAAUCGACAUCGGCGUCGCCAGCCCCAGCGCACACGGACAGGCGAUAAUCAGUACCGUGGUGGCAAUCACCAGGGUAUAAACAAUUUGCGGUGCCGGACCAAAGAAAUGAGUCGAUGAAUGACUGCAUGCCGAUAACAUGUGACAGGUUACGACGCCAGAGCCAGCACCUCAGCCACCCACUGCUGGAAGCCUUUCACAUCCAGAUCCAAUGCCACCUUUACAUUGGCUGGUUUGCCCAGGCAACCGUCGAUAUCAACCACCGUGACUGAUAUCUGCCCGCACCCAACACUCGAACAGGGCAAUUAAAAAUUUCCCCAACAGCUCUGCUGU
rnacentral:rRNA from 1 species